UACAGAGGGUGCGAACGUUGCUCGGAAUUACUGGGCGUAAAGCGCGUGUAGGCGGUCCGUUAAGUUGGUAGUGAAAUCCCAUGGCUCAACCAUGGAAGUGCUGCCAAAACUGGCGGGCUGGAGUGCCGGAGAGGGUGGCGGAAUUCCCAGUGUAGAGGUGAAAUUCGUAGAUAUUGGGAGGAACUCCGGUGGCGAAGGCGGCAUACUGGUCCACUUCUGACGCUGAGGCGCGAAAGCCAGGGGAGCAAACGGG
rnacentral:rRNA from 1 species